rnacentral:rRNA from 1 species
GAUGAACGCUAGCGGGAGGCCUAACACAUGCAAGCCGAGCGGUAUUUGUUCUUCGGAACAGAGAGAGCGGCGCACGGGUGCGGAACACGUGUGCAACCUGCCUUUAUCUGGGGGAUAGCCUUUCGAAAGGAAGAUUAAUACCCCAUAAUAUAUUGAGUGGCAUCAUUUGAUAUUGAAAACUCCGGUGGAUAGAGAUGGGCACGCGCAAGAUUAGAUAGUUGGUGAGGUAACGGCUCACCAAGUCAAUGAUCUUUAGGGGGCCUGAGAGGGUGAUCCCCCACACUGGUACUGAGACACGGACCAGACUCCUACGGGAGGCAGCAGUGAGGAAUAUUGAACAAUGGGUUAGCGCCUGAUCCAGCCAUCCCGCGUGAAGGACGACGGCCCUAUGGGUUGUAAACUUCUUUUGGAUAGGGAUAAACCUACUCUCGUGAGAGUAGCUGAAGGUACCAUACGAAUAAGCACCGGCUAACUCCGUG